rnacentral:lncRNA from 1 species
GCACUGGUGCUGGACGUAGAUCGUGUUGGACCGACGGCCAUGUUAGCCAUAGACUAGACUGCAUGGUAGUGCAAGGUAUCGGUUACACUCGGAUGCAGAGUUGUUCGGUUACGCUCGGAUACAGAGUUCUUGAGAGGAAAUUGCAGGGGAUUCGGAGCCUUACUCUCGGAUACAUAGUUCUUGAGAGGAAAUUGCAGGGGCUUCGGAGCCUUACGCUCGGAUACAGAGUUCUUGAGAGGAAAUUGCAGGGGAUUCGGAGCCUGGGGGACGAAGAAGAAGAAAUCAACAGGGUAGGUGGCAAGACAAAUGUCUGAAUCCGAUCGAUCGAUGCCUCACUUUCAGCUCAUAAAUAAUAUCGUACAUAUAGAU